GACGAACGCUGGCGGCGUGCCUAAUACAUGCAAGUUGAGCGAUGAAGAUUGGUGCUUGCACCAAUUUGAAGAGCAGCGAACGGGUGAGUAACGCGUGGGGAAUCUGCCUUUGAGCGGGGGACAACAUUUGGAAACGAAUGCUAAUACCGCAUAACAACUUUAAACAUAAGUUUUAAGUUUGAAAGAUGCAAUUGCAUCACUCAAAGAUGAUCCCGCGUUGUAUUAGCUAGUUGGUGAGGUAAAGGCUCACCAAGGCGAUGAUACAUAGCCGACCUGAGAGGGUGGUCGGCCACAUUGGGACGGAGACACGGCCCAAACUGCGACGGGAGGCAGCAGUAGGGAAUCGUCGGCAAUGGGCGAAAGUCUGACCGAGCAACGCCGCGUGAGUGAAGAAGGUUUUCGGAUCGUAAAACACUGUUGGUAGAGAAGAACGUUGGUGAGAGUGGAAAGCUCAUCAAGUGACGGUAACUACCCAGAAAGGGACGGCUAACUACGUG
rnacentral:rRNA from 1 species